UACGAAGGGGACUAGCGUUGUUUGGAAUCACUGGGCGUAAAGCGCACGUAGGCGGAUUUGUAAGUCAGGGGUGAAAUCCCGGGGCUCAACCUCGGAACUGCCUUUGAUACUGCGAAUCUUGAGUCCGAUAGAGGUGGGUGGAAUUCCUAGUGUAGAGGUGAAAUUCGUAGAUAUUCGGAAGAACACCAGUGGCGAAGGCGACUUACUGGACACGUAUUGACGCUGAGGUGCGAAAGCGUGGGGAGCAAACAGG
rnacentral:rRNA from 1 species